rnacentral:rRNA from 1 species
GACGAACGCUGGCGGCGUGCUUAACACAUGCAAGUCGAACGGAAAGGCCCUGCUUUUGUGGGGUGCUCGAGUGGCGAACGGGUGAGUAACACGUGAGUAACCUGCCCUUGACUUUGGGAUAACUUCAGGAAACUGGGGCUAAUACCGGAUAGGAGCUCCUGCUGCAUGGUGGGGGUUGGAAAGUUUCGGCGGUUGGGGAUGGACUCGCGGCUUAUCAGCUUGUUGGUGGGGUAGUGGCCUACCAAGGCUUUGACGGGUAGCCGGCCUGAGAGGGUGACCGGCCACAUUGGGACUGAGAUACGGCCCAGACUCCUACGGGAGGCAGCAGUGGGGAAUAUUGCACAAUGGGCGGAAGCCUGAUGCAGCGACGCCGCGUGCGGGAUGACGGCCUUCGGGUUGUAAACCGCUUUCGCCUGUGACGAAGCGUGAGUGACGGUAAUGGGUAAAGAAGCACCGGCUAACUACGUG